AAAGGCUUGGUCUGAUAACAGGUGGAUGUGUGGGCAGGAUUGGUUAGAGAAUGGGAAUUGGGUUGGUGGCUCAUUUGUUAGCAAGUCAGAUUCUUGGAGCAAGACUGGCGGUGGAUUCCUUGGGGUGGAUCACUGUAUAGCAGAGAAGUCAUAUUCUCGUGUUUUUGCUUUUGCCUGCAAGGCACUGACUGCUUUUUUCUUAAGCAUCAGGUGGCUAUGUAGUAAGGUUUUUAGGUUAAGUUCCUCUAGAAGUGAUGCAUCAAUGGACGCAGAACGAAGAGCAAUGAUGGAUAAAAGAGGUGAGAAUGGAGGAAAUUGUCAGGAGAGUAGAGGUGAGAAAGCUAGGAGAAAAGCUGAGGAAAAGAGGCUGGCUAGGUUGGAG
rnacentral:misc_RNA from 1 species